ensembl:lncRNA
UCUGUGUGUCCCUACCUCCCUCUAACUGUAUCCCUCCCUCCUGUCUCCCUCUCUUUCUUUCUCUUCUUCUUUCUUCUCUAUUCCUCUCCUCUCUUUCCUCUCCUUCUUGUUCAGCCCCAUUCUUUUCACCUAAUAUAUUUCACAUCUCAUCUCAGCUAAAUUGAUGCUUUUUCGUUCUAUGCAGUGUAUAUAACUUUUUAAUUAAAUUCAAACUUAUUAAACCGAUUUCCACUUUUUCAACUACUCCCACUACUUAAGCUUCUUCUCAUGGCUUUAAGCUAUUCAACCAGUUUAGCUUUAGCUACUCAGCAUUCCCACGCAUUUUCUGCAGGAAAUGCAUUUUCUAGUUUCCCAUAAUCUAUGUUAAGUAUGUUUGUAUAAAGGUAAAAAUGAUCUUACCAUGUCCACUGUAUAACCUACAGUUAUAAUGUACAGUCUUAAAGGUUUCACCACAUGAAUGGAAUUUACCAAUCAGUGUUUUAACAUUACCACAACAUUUUUGUUAGGGACAUUUCUGAAGAUAUGGGUGAGGUUCUUCUACAAUUCAGUAAGUAGAACACAUGCACACGUCCAUUAGGCCUACAUAUUUCUUGAUCAAGGAUUUUAAUUUUAGGUAUCUCACCCAAGAGGACAACCCGGUGUCUACUGCUUCUGACGACACAGUAAGUUGCUAAAAAUGGCUAAAAUAUUCAAGUUAGGCGUUUUUUGUUUUGUUUGUGCAUGCACACUAGUUUACUGUAAAUAAUCAUAAGAUAAUUCCAUAACCCAAACUUCUACCGGAUGUUGCUUAAAGUAGAGCACAAAUUGGAAAUAACAUAUUACUUUAUCCGUUCCAUAUUGCAGCAAUACCCAUAUUUUUAUCAUGUUAGAAAACAACAAAAAAGAAGUUUUGAUUCGUGUGCAAAUGCAGCAUCUCUCUCAGCUGGCCACAUACAAAAUCACAGAACGUGUCUCAUUGUGUCUUGCCAGAUGAAGACAAAAGGGGGCACAGAAUAAAAAAAAAAGAAUAAUUUAUGAUCUAAUGACCAAAAAAAAUCAAUGGAAAGGACUGUUAAAAAUAUAAUCAAAUACAUUUGAGCCGGACUUCAAAUGCACACUGCAAAAAUGAACCAUCUAAAUGCAAGUAAAAAUUACUUAAUUUGAGAAGGUAAAGACUUAAAACAAGUUAAUUUAUCUGCCAGUGCAGUAAGAUUAUUACACUUAGUAAUACACAGUAAGAUUUCUUGAGAUAAGAAAAAUGUUCUAGGCAUCAGAAAGGUGAUACAUGUCUUGUAAUGAGUGGUAAAACACUAAUUUCAAGCACUGUAUUAAGUCAAAUAAACUCAAAAUAAGAUGUCCAUUCUUCUUUCAGUUUUUUUCCUUUCUUAAUUUUAGUGAAAGGUUCUUAAAAGCAGAACCACUAUACAAGACAAUUUCACUUAAUUCAAGACUGUUCAUUAUUAGCUUGUGCGGCUUAAAAUGAGACAAAGCAUGAAUACGAUCAUUGUCAACAACAAUUUAUUUAGAUUUUGUGCCCUUUAACACACUUGUUGCUUUUCAAAAUAUUACAUAUUCUCAAUUACGGAAGCAUUGCAACAGAAAACAUGUGAUACAACUUUGAGGUCAUUAUGGUUAUGUGUCAUCGUCACUGAAUCUGAUUACCUGACAUUCAGAUACAGAAAAAAGUAUUAAGUUUCAAAUUUUCUGUUCAUUCCACCUCCUGUAAUGUUUAUAAACCUAGUUAACCGUCAUUGGCCUCUAUUAACUUUUUAGAUCCAACAUUUGCAGCACAAAAUAUGCUUUGAUGAUUAAAGGAACAAAGAACAAGGCAAUCAGAGAAUACUUGAACAAAAAGGAAGAAAGAAUUUUCUCUUGACAAACUCCAAUGCACACUACUAUCGAUUUAGAGUACCGCGACAGUGAAACUGGUGGUGCCAGUUAUUCUAGUAUAGUAGUUUAACACAGUGAACACCUCUACAUCCCAAUAAAAUCCUUCCAUUCUGUCAUGGCUUUUUUGUAUGAGGUCGUCAUGUCUAAUAUUUCUGUCUGAAUGACUGAGAGGAGGGUUGCCACACACUUUGGAUAGGUGAGAUGCAGAGUGUAGUAGUAAGCCAUCAGAUAAAGCAAACCUUCACAAAGGUCUUCCUUGGCAAAUGUGGUGAUGGGAGUGGUUCCAAAUGUGACAAGACAGCGGGACCCAUCAAAGAGCAAAACAAGUGCAGAGUGUGGUCUCUUCUGAAGGUAGAUGGUGGGAUCUUCUGUUGGCUAAUAAAAAGAAGAAAGAAACAAAUCUGAGAAAUGUCUUUAAGGGUACAAAAAAAAAAACACAAGACACCACUGUGGUGGUAUAUGAAAACAAACUGUCCUGUGUUUUAAACACAGGACCAAAAGAAAUUAAAUGAUAAUUAAAUCAAAUAAUGGCACGGGAAAGACUAGCACUCCUAGUGGUGGCUCAAAAAGCCCUUUUUGUGGACACGCCCCUUGAUUGUUCAACAAUUUUUGGGAACAAACUCACCUGAAGGACAUGAAGCAAUGCCUCACUGGCUUUCCCAACUUCUUCGGUGGGGCAGUUGGUGAAGGAAAGAGGGCAGGAAGUGCCUUGAAUAGAGCUAUGGCAUAUUCCACUAGAACAAAAACAAAUGUUCUCAGAAUUCAGAGAAUUAUCUUUUAUCCUUAUCGCAACCAUGAAAAAAGCCACACAGUAUAUUAGAGACGCAGCAGAAUGCCCUACCUGCAUCCAGGUUCAUGGGCGGCUUCAUCACUUUCUUUGAAACACCGUAAAAUUGCACCUUGGCACAGAAGUCUUCCCAUCUCUUCUUUACUUCAUCUAUGUAUGUGAUGUUGUCCUUAUCCAGGAUUCGUUGCAGCUCACUCAUCACCUGUAAUGCAAUAAGUGUUAACUCCUGCAAUAAUGAUUGUUUUUUUUGAUGAGCUGAAAUAACAAAUAAAUUACGCUUACGUGAUGAAGAUCCUUAAAACAAGGGUAGGCGUCGAGGAUCUUUGUUGGCCUGUCCUCUUCUUUCAUGGCAUCACUGUCGAUGAAGGCUCUUCUUGCUUCAAACUCGAGGUCAAGGAUUUGGUGGACCGCAUCUUUGUUUGGUUUUGUUUUCUUGAACAUCUCCGGCAGAGUUUUAUAAGGUCUGGCCUGUAUGAUCAGACUGUCUUUUUCAGCUAAAAUGGAGAACAAAAAUCAGUAAUGGGUAUCAAACAUGUCAAUCUGAAUGAUAAUAUAGGUUCAGUGUAACAAUUAACAAAAUUAGCGAUGCUGAAUGACCUAUAUACUAAUGCAAUUUUGAAGGAAAAUAGUUAAGUAAUUAUUUAUUACAAUACAUUUCUCCAAUAAAGAAAAGGAACAAUGUGUGUGCUGUUAAUUAUAGUUCUUAGAAAUGAAAUCAACAUCAGCAGGUCAGACUUGCAUCAUAAGAAAUUGGAAAAUAUAGUGAUAAAACCACCUUACUGUAAAUCUCCACCAGACAAAAAGCAAUAUUGUGCAUGUUAUACAUCAACAUAUGCCCUUCCUGCUUUUUAGAGCCAAAUGGAUGCAAUCAAAUAAAAAAUCAUCAGUAACAGCUAAAUAUAUCAAAACAGAAUCAGAAUUAAACUAAAAUGAUCAGUGUCUGUAUUCUGAUAGACAAUUCUUAGUCUUCAUGCUACACAAUUCCAACUUACGUGACCUGUUGCCAUCAUCAGAACUGCUCCCAGAUGUUUGAUGCAAAAUAAUUGUUGAUGCACCACUUGGGUCUGCAUCAUUUUCUUCUCUGUCACUCGAUGAGAAGUCAAUGAGACUCCUUUUCUUUGAAUGGCCCCUCUCUGGAGUGGGCCCCUGCCUCUUUUGUGGGGACUUCACAUUCUGCAGCCUCUUGUGAAGAUUGUUGUAAAUGCUCAUCUGUGGUAAAAACAAAAGGUUUGGUUAUAAUUAGAUGCCUUCUUUUUAUGUUACAGAUAAACCACGGCAGACAAAAUAAAUAAACAAACAUAUUUACCACAAAUUUAAAUCACUUACAUGCUUCAUAGUUUUGUCUUUAUCUUUUUAUCUUUAUCUGUUUAAAUGGAAAUAUGACAAAAUGACAAUCAAACAUAUGUCAUUCAAAUCCGCCUUUUCAUCCCGGAAUUGCGUAAGUGUAUAUGUAAAUUACACGGUGUCAUAGAAUGACCCCCCCCCAACUUGUCUUUUGGUAUCGACCAACCAAAUGCGCAAGGCUGCUCGUGCCCGUCAAAGCCGACAUGAAUCAACAAUUUCCUCGUUUGCUGUCUGCAAUUGUGGAUUAAACAUCACGCUCUUUGUGCUACGUGUAGUUUGCAAGUAUAGUUAUUUUUUGCCCUUGCUGUCUUAGCAAUUCUUGAUUUUGUCGUUAAUGUUUCAGUUUCAUAAAAAACUACACUAACUGUCAGCUUUCAUUAGCUAGCUAGCUAGCUAGCAACUUUUAACAUAAUGGCUUGCUGGAGGUGUGUUAUUUGCUUCGUUUUUGUUGCCUUAACAUUAAAGUCUCUCUUGAGCCAUAUCAACACAGCACAUAGUCGAAACCCCGAUUUCCGUGUUAUAUGCGGAAUUGAUGGAUGUACCGAAGAAUACAGAGUAUACAACUCCUUCUACUACCAUAUCAGAUGCACACAUGCUCUGUAUCUUGCAACUGGGCACCCACCCACCAGAGGGAUGACAGCAGCUACAUCUGAGCCAUCUAGGGUUGGAAGAGAACAUUUUGAUCUACCAAUUUUUUCUGACUGUGCCACUGUAGGAUAUUAGAAACAAAUAUACGACCCGGUUCAUAAAAUUAAUAAAAAUGCAUAUAGUGUACACCAGAAUACAGCCAUGAUUCUGAAACUGUAAUCCAUAAAGUAAUGACAAUAUUGUAAAACUACUGUAAAUCUGCAGCUGUACUAGAAUAAUACCAAUGUAGUUAUGAUUGUAUUUGAUGUAAUGUAAUCAACUGGAAUGCAUGCAUGUAAUACUUGCACAACAACUGAUAUUGACCAAGGAUCAUUCGAAAUCCGAGUUACAUUGAACUCACCAGAAGACCACUCCCAGAGGUGUGGACACUGACUUUCACACCUUUAAGCAUUGCUAUAAAUACCUGUAGGAACCAUUGUUCUGGAGUUCGCUGGUGGAGGCUACAGACGGGCACUAGGGAUGGUCAAAGGACUGACCUGGGGCCUGUUGGUUGCUGAGACCAGCGGCUCCUCAGCUGAGAUGUUCUUUUUACCGCAACGCCAUCUCCUUUAUUAAAUACAUUUGAUUUUAACCUUUUGAUCAGCGAUGACCUCUGUCCGUCUGGCGUUUCUUCAUUUUUGAACACAACACCACUCAAACAAGAGGGAUGCAAAGGACCAGCAGUGAAGUCCGCACAAGUGUCACCCCAAAUGAAAUGCCUCAGCCUCAGCUUGAUGAUUCCCAGAUUCAACAUACUGAUCAUCAGGUAAGAUUCCACUUUUGACUAUCUUGCAUAAUAUUAUAAUAAAACCAUAUUCAUUACAUUUUGUUAAUAUUUUAGUCCCCUGUUGGCCCCCUUUUGAAAAGCAUCAGACUGUUAACACAAACAAGAAGUGACGGGUUUGUGUUAAGAAAAAUGAAAUACUGAUGUAUAGAAGGACAAACAGAAAUAUUUAAGACUUCCGCAAGUUUGAACUAUUUUAUAUAUCAACAUGUCUUUACAGGAAUGUGCUGGUACAUCACAUGAGGCUCUUACCAGACGUGCAGCAGCGUUUGUCAUUAAUGUCCGGGAACAAUGCCACCUGUCCCAGAUGAACCAACCCAUACCUGGCCCUAGCUCUUCACCUGGGGAGCCAGUAGAGGAACAUCUAGAAGACCUCACAAGUCCAACUUUAGACCAGAAACCAACAAAGGAACAGGUGGAACUCCUGCUGCUGGCAUUAAAACUCAAACACGGAUUAACAAAUGGAGCCUCGAAGGACAUCAUGCAUCUUAUCAACUUUAAAGCUGGUCCUGGUGGGGAAUUGGUUAGUGGCUCAAAGUACCUUUUCUACAAAGAUUUGAUUCAGUGAAAGACAUAUUAGAAGUGCAUUAUGUGUGCAAGAGUUGCAACGUAAACAUGCAGGAAGGUCCCUUUAAUGUCAAGUGCCCAGUGUGUGACCAGGACACAUCAAAAGCGCAUGCACAAAAAGACCAGUGUUUUUUGUACUUGCCACUAAAAUACCAUAUUAAAAAACUGCUUGAUGACCACCAAUUAGGGGAACACCUGAAACACCGUUUUGAGAAGGAUGCCUACAUCAAAGAUAUACACGAUGGACAUUUAUACAAAAAACUAUCACGCCUUGCAUCACCAGACAACAUAUCACUGACUUUCAACUGUGAUGGAGUGCCAGUGCACAAAUCAAACACAAAAAGUCUGUGGCCAAUUUUGUGUACUGUUAAUGAACUGCCAAUACAACUACAUGCAAGACAUAUUAUGCUUUGUGGUUUGGUCAAAACAAACCAAAUAUGAACACUUGAAACCAUUUGUCGAUGAAUGGAGUUGUCCUCUAAUGGUCUUACGUGGCAAAGUGAAAUUGGGGAAGUUGUCACAAGUAAAGUACUCCUCACUACCAUGGUGGCAGAUUCAGUGGCCCGGCCAAUGAUUCAGAACUUUAAUGGAGAGUUUGGGUGUUCUUUUUGUAUGCAGAAAGGAACAAGUGUGUUAAAACGCAGGGGGCAUGUAAGGGCUUAUCCCUAUGAAAAAGCAGAGUUGAGGAAUCCCGCCCAGACUGAUGAUCUGGUAGAAGAGGCUCUUGCUGGAAACCCCACUAAGGGAGUGAAAGGGCCUAGUAUUUUGUCUUGCCUAGCUGAUUUUAAUAUCAUUGAUGGCUGUGUUCCAGAUUAUAUGCACAGUGUGCUGCUGGGUGUAGCAAGAAGCAUUACAACGUUGUGGUUUAAUUCUGAAAACAACCAUGGUAUAUCGGACGCUCAACAGAACAGAUUGAUGACAUUAGAACUUCUAUUAAACCCGCCUGUAAUGUUUCCCGUGUCCCCCGCUCAGUGAAAGUCACACGAGUGGAACAUGUGGUUGUUUUAUUACAGCAUACCAAUAUUGAAAGGGAUCUUACCUGAAAACUAUCUGAAGCACUGGUUUAAGUUGGUAAAGGGCUCUUCUACUUGGUGAGAAUAUAUCACCAAUGCACAUAUCAGAAUCUGAGUUGUUGCUAACAGUUUGUUCAGGAAAUGGAUACCCUUUAUGGGAUCAAUAAUGUUACUUUCAAUGUACAUUUGUGCCUUCAUCUGCCCAAUACUGUAAGGAACAGGGGUCCCCCCUGGGCACAGUCCGCUUUUGUGUUUGAGUCAUACAAGAUGUUAUGAUAAAGAGCAGCCAGGGAGUUUCUCUGGAGAUCAUAAAACUGUUUGGCUACAGGUUGCAUUUACAUCAUUUUCCAAAAAAACCUUGCAGGCAGCUUCUGAUGAUUACAAAUCUCUUAGUCUUUCAGUUGAGAAAAAAUGAUGGUGUUACAUCUUGUGAGAUGCAUGUACUGGUAAAAUAUAUUAUAACAUUGUUUUGCGCUAAAGCCGUGUCUCAAGUGUCCUGUAUUUGACCCUGAUGUGCAAAGAGCAGCAUGAUACAAAAUGUUUCUUUGCAGCUGUGUCCUGAGAAGGGAGGGCGGUCAACUCAAGCUCAUAGACGCUUCAAAACAAAGGACUUCUGUUCAUGGCCUUGGCCACUUAUCUAUAGCAAAUUGGCUUAUUUGAGGAAAUUGCACUUUGUUCUUCUGAGUCUGUAUCCUUAUGGUUGAAUGCACGAUAAGUGCUCGUAAGUCGCUUUGGAUAAAAGCGUCAGCUAAAUGACAUGUAAUGUAAUGUAAAUGUAAUUAAUAAGCGGGAUAGUAUUGGGAUAAAUGGGGCUGGUCAAUCUGGUAUAUGCGAGGUCAUUAAGUUGCCUGUAGCCUUCCCAUAAGUACUGAUCCCUGUCCAAAAUCACAAUAGCACUGCCCUUAUCGGCCGGUUUGAUAAUAAUGGUUUUCAUUAUUAAUCAAUUCAUCCACUACUGGUGAGCGGCACCUGGUGUGCUUUGAAAUGGUGGUCAAAAUGUUGAAUGUCAAACUGGAAAAGGGCAGUGAUCGCGUCGGGUAUCUGAUCUUGCAGGAGUCCAGACUUGACUUGUUCAUAAACGGCAGACGUUCAGAAUAGGCCACCAGUUUUAAUUUUCUGUGAUACUCCUGAUACUUCUGUAAAUCAAAGCGGCUCUGCUCUAGUAUUUUUUUAUUUAUUCCCUUAGUGGGAAUAAAAUUAAGGUUUUCAGAGCUUUAGUUUCUGCCUGUAUGCAGGAAUCAGAUGGACCUUGACGAGGUCAGAGUGUCCCAGUGCAGCACGAGGGACGGCGUGAUAAGCCCUGCUUACUGUGGUGUAACAGUGAUCCAGCGUGUUCUCCUCUCUGGUCUUAUUUAAUAAACUGUCUGUACUUAGGAAGUUCAUGGCUGAGAUUUCCUUUGUUAAAGUCCCGGAGGACAAUAACUAAGGAGUCCGGGUUGGUCCGCUCCACACGCCGUAUCUGGUCGGCGAAUGUCCGCUGUGCCUUGUGGACGUUGCCCGCCGGCGGCAUGUAAACACCGACCAGGAUGAAUGAAGCUCACGGAGGGAAUAAAAGGGUUUGCAGUUGAUGAAGAAAGUUUCCAGAUCAGGAGAACAGUGUUUUAGGAUUACCGUUAAAUUCGACCCGAAAAGGCGUCACGGCUGAGGACAAAAAGUCCGGCCAAUGUCAAUGCUGACAGCCGCCUGUACACGUCUGCUGGAUGUCACAAAAGCCAGGUCUGUGUCAGACACCGGUGUACGGCCGGGUGUCAGACUUUUGUGAAAUCGACCACAUCUCACCAGAAUCUGAUUUUGGAUAUCGCCUAUAAGUCUGGCUGUCAGUCUGUGCUAGGCUGCUGAAAAUCGGACCAGCUCCUCC